GUCUACGGCCAUACCACCCUGAACGCUCCUGAUCUCGUCUGAUCUCAGAAGCUAAGCAGGGUCAGGCCUGGUUAGUACUUGGAUAGGAGAAAUACAUGUUGUGUAAACA
ensembl:rRNA 5S_rRNA 5S ribosomal RNA